rnacentral:tRNA from 1 species
GGCCCCGUGGUGCAACGGUUAGCACAUCGGCCCUUCAAGCCGGUAAUACGGGUUCGAUUCCCGUCGGGGCUACCA